rnacentral:rRNA from 1 species
GACGGGAGCUUGCUCCUUGAUUCAGCGGCGGACGGGUGAGUAAUGCCUAGGAAUCUGCCUGGUAGUGGGGGACAACGUUUCGAAAGGAACGCUAAUACCGCAUACGUCCUACGGGAGAAAGCAGGGGACCUUCGGGCCUUGCGCUAUCAGAUGAGCCUAGGUCGGAUUAGCUAGUUGGUGGGGUAAUGGCUCACCAAGGCGACGAUCCGUAACUGGUCUGAGAGGAUGAUCAGUCACACUGGAACUGAGACACGGUCCAGACUCCUACGGGAGGCAGCAGUGGGGAAUAUUGGACAAUGGGCGAAAGCCUGAUCCAGCCAUGCCGCGUGUGUGAAGAAGGUCUUCGGAUUGUAAAGCACUUUAAGUUGGGAGGAAGGGCAGUAAGCUAAUACCUUGCUGUUUUGACGUUACCGACAGAAUAAGCACCGGCUAACUCUGUGCCAGCAGCCGCGGUAAUACAGAGGGUGCAAGCGUUAAUCGGAAUUACUGGGCGUACGCGCGCGUAGGUGGUUCGUUAAGUUGGAUGUGAAAGCCCCGGGCUCAACCUGGGAACUGCAUCCAAAACUGGCGAGCUAGAGUACGGUAAAGGG